rnacentral:rRNA from 1 species
GUGAUCAGCUUUGAUCAAUCUCUUCAACGUGAGAGUUUGAUCCUGGCUCAGAGCGAACGCUGGCGGCAGGCUUAACACAUGCAAGUCGAGCGGGCACUUUCGGGUGUCAGCGGCGGACGGGUGAGUAACGCGUGGGAAC